AUGUACUGGUAAGUCUCGGAGUCUACGUCGGACCCAUGAUUUCGUUGCCGUGCCAACUUUUUUGCCAUCUGAAUUUGAGAUCGUUUCCUCUUUCGUUUUUUACCUCUUUCGUCGUUUCCGUGAUCGUUAAAACUUACAACUUUCGAGUAGACAGCGCCAUCUACGAUUAGUUUCGACUUAUAAACCACUGAUACGUACGAGAGUAAAAAUGGAAGCAAAUAUCGAAACACGAGCGCCAUCUACGAUUAGGGUUUCAACUUAUAAACCACUGGUACGUACGAGAGUAGAAAUGGAAGCAAAUACCGAAAAAAAGCGCCAUCUACGAUUGAAAUUUCGACUUACAAACCACUGAUACAUACGAUAGUAGAAAUGGAAGCAAAUAACGAAAAACGAAGAAACCUCGUAAAUCACACUGCAUUUUUUCACGUUAUAUUAAACUUACUAAUUAUAUUUUCCGUAUCAUCUAUUCUUCCCUUUAUUUUACAUACUCGAAUUAAUGUACAUAAAUCUUUAUUAGUCGUAUCGUAAUUCGAAGAUUCUUAUCGUCUGGCUUAUCGGUGCGUUUGUCCGUUCAUUUUAACAAGAAAGAAAACUGUAAUGGACGUAAUAGUGGAGAAACAUGGAAGAGACAAGAACUUCCGAAUGCGGUUCUUUGGAUCUCACUAGCCGUUUCAUCGUGCCGUAGACUCGGAUCGUUUCUAAAUAUCUUCCAACCAAUAAUCGUGGAUAAAUCUCGAUUAGCGCAAACGAAUGUCUAUCGUAGUUAUCAAGUAAUCAAAGGCCCCUUCGACUGCUAUCACAAAUAGAGAAAAAGAGCGUAUCGAAUUAAAAUAGUUCUUAUUGAGGAUAAUAAAAUUUUUCCUUAUCUAAGAAAUAUAUGUAAGUGUAUAUCUCUCUCUAUAUAUAUACAUAUGAUAUAUCCAUAUUCAAUAUGUAUAUAUACAUAUAUGUAUGUAUAUAUAUACAAA